rnacentral:rRNA from 1 species
CAAGAGUUUGAUCAUGGCUCAGGACGAACGCUGGCGGCGUGCCUAAUACAUGCAAGUCGAGCGAGUCUGCCUUGAAGAUCGGAGUGCUUGCACUCUGUGAAACAAGAUACAGGCUAGCGGCGGACGGGUGAGUAACACGUGGGUAACCUGCCCAAGAGAUCGGGAUAACACCUGGAAACAGAUGCUAAUACCGGAUAACAACAGAUGAUGCCUAUCAACUGUUUAAAAGAUGGUUCUGCUAUCACUCUUGGAUGGACCUGCGGUGCAUUAGCUAGUUGGUAGGGUAACGGCCUACCAAGGCGAUGAUGCAUAGCCGAGUUGAGAGACUGAUCGGCCACAUUGGGACUGAGACACGGCCCAAACUCCUACGGGAGGCAGCA